UUUUUUUUUUUUUUUUUGAGGCAGGGUGUCGCUCUGUCACCCAGGCAAGAGAGCAGUGGUAAGAUCUUGGCUCACUACAGCCUUGACCUCCUGGGCUCAAAUGAUCCUCCCACCUCAGCCUCUGGAGUAGCUGGGACCACAGGAAUGCACCACCACGUCUGGCUAAUUUUUGUACUUUUGGUAUAGGUAGGAUCUUGCUACCUUGCCAGGGCUGGUCUCAAACUCCUGGGCUCAAGCGAUCCUCCUUGCCUUGGCCUCCCAAAGUUCUGAGAUUACAGGCAUGAGUCGCUGCACAGAGCCCCUAUAACUAUUUAUUGAAUAAAUCUGAGUUCCUGAAAGAUUGAAUACAGUCUGUUUAGAGGAAGAAGCUGUAAAACAGUAAUAAGAUGAAAGAAGAAGAAAGGAGGAAAAGGAGGAGAGAAAGGAGGAGGGGAAGAAACUUAUUAGUGCAGGUUAAACAAUAUCAUAAUUAUUCCACUGUAAUUUUUUUGAACCUUAAAGUACUCACCUGUCUAUUUUGUGCUGGAGUUCUGACCUUGUUUCUAGUCUGCCACACCACUACAUUUUCUUUUUUUUUUUUUUUUUUUUUUUUGAGACAGAGUCUCACUCUGUCACCCAGGCUGCAGUGCAGUGGCACGAUCUCGGCUCACUGCAAGCUCUGCCUCCCGGGUUCACGCCAUUCUCCUGCCUCAGCCUCCCACGUAGCUGGGACUACAGGCGCCGGCCUCCAAGCUCGGCUAAUUUUUUGUAUUUUUAGUAGAGACGGGGUUUCACCGUGUUAGCCAGGAUGGUCUCAAUCUCCUGACCUCAUGAUCCACCCCCCCUAGAGCUCCCAAAGUGCUGGGAUUACAGGAGUGAGCCACCACGCCUGGCCCACACCACUGUAUUUUCAAACCAAAAAUUCACUGAGAGUGAAUAGGAAGGCUUGUGCACCAGAGAGACUUAUUCUCACUUAUUUGUUAAUUAUUUAUCAACAAAACUUCAGUGGCACACUUACUGAGAGAGCUUCAAAUCGGCAUGCUGGGUGCAGAUGUGAGACGUGGGAGGUCAUAGCUUCUCUAGAGAAGCUCGCGUUCUGAAAGGAAGCGUUGGGAGAAGACAUGGAUGAAAACAUACAAAACAGUGAGCUUUGUGAUAAGAGAUAACACACUGCCACAGCAGCAAGAAGAAGGAAUUCACGACUCUCGAGAGGUCAAGAUCCUCCUAGAACCACCACUGACCUCGAGGCAAGGCACAAGGCGAGGAGCCCCUGAGUGGCAUGGGGAGAUUGAGGGUCUUGUCCCCACUCAUAGGAAUUCAGCCCAUCAGUGUUCUAGACUGAGACAAGAAAUUAAGUAAAUUUGACUCCUAUGUCACUUCUAUAUUUAUUCAUUCAUUCAUUCAUGGGAACACUGAGAUUCUACUCCCUAUGCCUGACAGUUUGAACUAACACUCCUACACAUUGGUAUCAUUCAAGAAUCACACUGGGAGAAAAUGGGUUUAGGCUUCUCUAGCUAGAAACAGACUCACCACAGGGAAUCGAACAUAAUCCUAGUUCUAAUCCAAUCCAGACCAAAAGGGUCCAGUUACUGUCCACAGAGGGCUGCGUCCAGGGAGGCCAUACUGGUGUGCUCCCAGCCACAGCCCCAGCAUGCCCGACACACAGGAAUGAAAGGUCAUGCCAGCUCCCGCUCCUUCCUUAUCCUAAGAGCCAGAGGCCCACACCUUCCCUUAAACAGACCCAGGGCAUAACCUUUCCGUAAGUCAUCCCGUAACAGUGUUGGACUACCAGAGUCCAAGCCACCACACAGGGAUGACAUGAGUGAAGUUUCCAUCUGCAAAGAGGCCAGAGGAAUGCGAGUGUCACAUCAUGGGGAGGGCCUAGUAGUAAGAGCCACCUCCAAGGGGACUUCCUCGUAGAUUGAGGGUGUCUUCUCCAUGCAGUUAGCUUAAUAACAAUAAACAGCUGGACUGGGUUCAUAAUUGAUGAAUUCCUUCUCUACCCAAUGCCUUCCCCUGCCCUAGACAAUGUUGGUGUCUUUACAAUUAGAAGGAUUUAUUCUCUUUUUAAUGUGGAAGCAAAGCAGAGUGAUAGGAGCUUAGAGAAAUCGCAGCACAGAUGUCAGGCCAUAGGCCCAAGGGCUGUUAAAAAAGAAAACUCUGUAAAUGGAAGUGAGACUUAGUAAGGCACAACCCUAAAGUCUUGGCUCACAAUGCAAAGGAAAAAAAGAAAAAAGACUGGUGGGUGGGGGAGUUUCCUGAAGCCAUGAGUAAAAUCUGGCAGAAAGCAUUCUAUACAGCCUUUUUUGGUUUCAAUCCGCAUGACAUCACAAUCUGUGAAUUUUGCUGUGAUUGAAUUUGAAUGAACUUGUAGAUUCAAAACAAAACCCAUUUGAAACAAGCUCCACAAAGCAACUCUAUCUUCCCCACAGCAGUUAAGUGUUUCCUAACUGCCUUCUUUUCUGGAUGGCAAGGCCUGCCUGGGACUAACAUGCCAAGUCCAAACCACACAGACACAUGCAUGCACAAGCAUGAGAAUACAUACAAGCACACACGGACAUAUGUGCACACACACAUGCAGACAAACGUGCACAUUCACUUAUUCGCAGAAACAUACACACACACACCCAGUGGGAGCAGCAGGGCCAGGAGAAGUGGCAGGAGUGCUGGACUGGACUGUCAAUUCUGCCUGGGAGAACCUGCCCAUCCUUUUGUUCUGCUUCCCCUUUUUAUUCCUAUUAUCUUAGUUCUGCCCAGUAAAGGCAAGAAGGAAGACCUAGACCAGCCCUGCAAACACAUUCUGAGCUUUAGAGAAACCAGGGCAGAAGAAAAGAAAACCCACACAACAGUCCUGGUGUGACGGUUAAAGUAUUCAACUAUUCCAGGCUUCUCCUCCUCUUUUGUUGAAUUUAUUUCUACAGAACUGGGGAUGGUAUGGGUAAGGAUCAGACGUUUUUGCACGUAACAGGUUUUUGUAAACAGUGAGAAACAUAGCCCAACAUACCUCCAGGUGUUUAAGAUCGUUCAAAAACCAAAACUGAAUUAACCAUUUUGUUUUUCUAUAAGGACAGCUAUGCCACAAAUUGAAGAACUAUGCUGCCAACAUAGCCAACACAAGUAAUCAGGAUAUGUUUUAAUAUGCAAAUAACCCUAUCAAGGAAUGCCUCCCAUCCUACUCCAUGUCUACCUAGCCUGGGACCUUAAAAUCCUCUAUGUCUCUGAUCACCCUGGAAAAGCCUAAAACUCCAGACUUUUAACACAGUGCUACCAAGGCAGGAGCCAACAUGAAGCUGCCACAACAGCUUGGCAGAAGAGCCUGCAAUCGAGUCAGCUCACCAGAACUAGAAGUCAGCGUACACUGCGCAAAGCAAGAGUGAUGGCCCAAACCCCCACAAAUAUCAGUUGAAAUAAAAAUCAAUGUCACCCUCA